ensembl:lncRNA
AUUUUUAAUAACAGUUGAUGAGGUAACGUUCAGCUGGACUGGCAGAGAAACAUUUCCAUCUUUUGGUGCUGCUUGUAACAGCAUAGUUGAAAUUGAAGGCUUUGUGUUUGUUCUUUUUUACAUAUGCACGGGAACUUGGUUAAAGAAUGGAAGUCUUGCAUUAUUUUAAUAUGUUAAAACGUGCUUAUAUAUUUCUGUUGUUGUUGAACUUCCUGCUUAUUCUGUUGGGUUAUAUGAGAAUUUGAAUGGGUCUCACAGAGAAUGCCUAUUGAAGCAGGAUUCCCAGCUUGCAGCAGUGAGGGGUUUUGGCUCAGCUGGGAUGCCUGUGCUGGCUGAUACUGACACAGCUGCUGGUUACCUUUAGCACCUCGUUUCAGGAACAUGUGUUUAAAAAAUAAGUGCACUUGUACAGAACUGCUCAUAAAAGGAGGGCUUAAAUCUGUAAUGAUGUACGUUAACGAUACUUGAAUAUAUAAGUUAUUUUGGGUUCUUCUGAACACUUUUGUGCAUUUUUUUCUGCAUUCGUGCUGCAGAAGUUUUAGCUGCCAGUUAACAAAAAUAAUCCAUCAAGAUAAGGCUGGUUAUCCUGUACAUUAGAACAGAAUUUCGUGCCUCACCAGUUUAGCUUGGGAAAUAUUUAGAAUGUGAUUUGGCAAGCGUUGAGAAGCUCUAUACUGAGUAGUACUUGCAAUAGAAGUGAAGCAUGAGGAAUGUUGUGAAGAAAAUGCACAUCUAGCACAUGAGAAAUGGCUAUAACUGUGCUUCAUUGUUGCAAGCAGUUUGUUUUAGUGCAGUGGCUGCAGGCGAAGUAGGGUCGGUGCAGGGAGGAGCCUGGCAUUACAGAGCUGUGAGUGUGAGCCCGAAUGAUUUUGCUACUGAAGGGGUGGAAAUGAGUAAGUGUAAGCAAUCUGCGCCACGCUUUCAUCUGAACUGUUGGUUAUUUCUCCUUUAGAGCUCUGUCUUAGUGGCUACUGAAGAAACAGAGCACAUAAUACUCCAGAGCUUCAAAAUCAGAAGUAAAAUCAUUUGGACAGUUGCCACCUGCCCUCCUAAAUAGGAGGAAAGUGGGAUUAUCGGUGCCUGCCUCAUUUACUUCACCAAAAUGAGAUAGGGCAUGCAGGAGAGAAGGGAUAUUUUUGCAAGUGGAAGCUACAAUGAUGAGCACUGAAGGAGGAAGAGAGUCUCCAUUCAAGUAGUUCAAAAAGUUACAGUAAGUCAAAUUCCUGGGAG